rnacentral:rRNA from 1 species
UACGGAGGGUGCGAGCGUUUAUCGGAAUUACUGGGCGUAAAGCGCGCGUAGGCGGUUUGUUAAGUCGGAUGUGAAAGCCCCGGGCUCAACCUGGGAACUGCACCCGAUACUGGCCGACUUGAGUGCGAGAGAGGGAGGUAGAAUUCCAUGUGUAGCGGUGAAAUGCGUAGAUAUAUGGAGGAAUACCGGUGGCGAAGGCGGCCUCCUGGCUCGACACUGACGCUGAGGUGCGAAAGCGUGGGUAGCAAACAGG